rnacentral:rRNA from 1 species
GAUUAACGCUGGCGGCAUGCCUAAUACAUGCAAGUCGAACGAGAAUUUAUUCUAGUGGCGAACGGGUGAGUAAUGUAUUUCUAACCUGCCCUAGAGAGUGGGAUAACUAUUGGAAACGAUAGCUAAUACCGCAUAGGAUAUUGGAGGGCAUCCUCUAAUGUUUAAAGGUGCGUUUGCACCACUUUGGGAUGGGGAAAUAUCACAUUAGCUUGUUGGCGGGGUAAAGGCCCACCAAGGCGAUGAUGUGUAGCCGAGCUGAGAGGUUGAUCGGCCACAAUAGGACUGAGACACGGCCCAUACUCCUACGGGAGGCAGCAGUAGGGAAUUUUCCACAAUGGACGAAAGUCUGAUGGAGCAAUGCCGCGUGAGGGAUGACGGUCUUCGGAUUGUAAACCUCUGUUGUAAGGGAAGAACAAGCAGGAUAGGAAAUGAUCUUGCUCUGACGGUACCUUACCAGAAAGUCACGGCUAACUAUGUGCCAGCCGCCGCGGUAA